rnacentral:rRNA from 1 species
UUAGAGGCAAACGGGUGGACCCGCAAUACGUCGACCCGGGGGAUUCAACCAGGCCGUGCGUUCGGGACGCGUGGGGGUUAUGCGGAGCUGUAAAGCCCGUGCCUUUGCGCAGGUCUCCGGGCGGACUGGUGCACUUUCCUCGGGUUGAUUGCCACGACCGGCUCUCCGUGCGGCCACAAGCCUUUGCUGGGAAGGUGACCGUCGGCCUCCGCGCCGGCGGUGUUAUAGACCAGCUUGUUCGUUGAGCUCGUCGGAGGGCCGAGGAAGUGUUGCCGUCUCUCGUCCACCCUCCGGCCAUCCUUGCUCGUCACGACUGGGGUGAACUGCUCCGUCAGUGCUCUCCCGACCGCGAGCGUAGGAAGGGCUGGUACGGUGCGAGAAAGCUUCGGGCCAGUGGCGAAUCGGUCGGUCCUCCACCCGACCCGUCUUGAA